GGCUGAUUAGCUCAGUUGGUUAAAGCGUGGUGCUCAUAACACCAUGGUCGCCAGUUCGAUCCCUGCAUGGGCCA